rnacentral:lncRNA from 1 species
CACAGGGGCUAGAACAGGGAGAGGCCUGAGAGACUGACUGGCCAGCCUUCUGGUUUUAAAGAUGAGGAGGAAGGGGCUUGAUAAAGAUUGGGCAACUGGAGAACCGCCCCAGGUGUGGUUUCCCAGCCCUCCACUCCGCACCCCACUCACCACCUCACUCCACACAUCUCCUCAUUCCACGCAUCUCCUCACUCCACACAUCUCCUCACUCCACACAUCUCACUCCACACAUCUCACUCCACACAUCUCACUCCACACAUCACCUCACUCCACGCAUCUCACUCCACACAUCUCACUCCACGCAUCUCACUCCACACGUCUCACUCCACACAUCAUACUCCACACAUCUCACUCCACACAUCUCCUCAUUCCACACAUCUCACUCCACACAUCACCUCACUCCACGCAUCUCACUCCACACAUCUCACUCCACACAUCUCACUCCACACAUCACCUCACUCCACGCAUCUCACUCCACACAUCAUACUCCACACAUCUCACUCCACACAUCACCUCACUCCACGCAUCUCACUCCACACAUCUCCUCACUCCACGCAUCUCACUCCACACAUCUCACUCCACACAUCUCACUCCACACAUCUCCUCAUUCCACACAUCUCACUCCACACAUCACCUCACUCCACGCAUCUCACUCCACACAUCUCCUCACUCCACACAUCUCACUCCACACAUCUCCUCACUCCACACAUCUCACUCCACACAUCUCCUCACUCCACACAUCUCCUCACUCCACACAUCUCACUCCACACAUCUCCUCACUCCACACAUCUCCUCACUCCACACAUCUGACUCCACACAUCUCACUCCACGCAUCUCCUCACUCCACGCAUCUCACUCCACACAUCAUACUCCACACAUCUCACUCCACACAUCUCCUCAUUCCACACAUCUCACUCCACACAUCUCCUCAUUCCACACAUCUCACUCCACACAUCUCCUCAUUCCACACAUCUCACUCCACACAUCUCCUCACUCCACGCAUCUCACUCCACACAUCACUUCACUCCACGCAUCUCACUCCACACAUCUCCUCAUUCCACACAUCUCACUCCGCACAUCUCCUCAUUCCACACAUCUCACUCCACACAUCUCCUCACUCCACACAUCUCACUCCACGCAUCAACUCACUCCACGCAUCUCACUCCACACAUCUCCUUACUCCACACAUCUCACUCCACGCAUCUCCUCACUCCAUGCGUCUCCUCACUCCACACAUCUCCUCACUCCACACAUCUGACUCCACACAUCUCACUCCACGCAUCUCCUCACUCCACACAUCUCACUCCACGCAUCUCCUCACACCACGCAUCUCACUCCACACAUCUCCUCACUCCACACAUCUCCUCACUCCACACAUCUCACUCCAGACAUCUCCUCACUCCACACAUCUCACUCCACGCAUCUCCUCACUCCAUGCGUCUCCUCACUCCACGCAUCUCCUCACACCACGCAUCUCACUCCACACAUCUCCUCACUCCACGCAUCUCACUCCACACAUCUCCUCACUCCACACAUCUCCUCACUCCACAGAAAUCCUCACUGUACGCAUCUCCUUAUCCCACGCCUCCCCUCGUCCCACGUCCCGUGGUCACACUCAUGUCCUCACUGCACACCUCCUGCUGCCUUCUGCAAGGUUCGACUGCUGACUUUGCUUCCCACAGCAUUUCCACUGCUUGACACAGGUGAAUGGCUCCGACCCCAUUU